rnacentral:rRNA from 1 species
CUGAAGAUGGCGACCGGCGCACGGGUGAGUAACACGUAUCCAACCUGCCGAUAACUCCGGAAUAGCCUUUCGAAAGAAAGAUUAAUACCGGAUAGCAUACGAAUAUCGCAUGAUAUUUUUAUUAAAGAAUUUCGGUUAUCGAUGGGGAUGCGUUCCAUUAGUUUGUUGGCGGGGUAACGGCCCACCAAGACUACGAUGGAUAGGGGUUCUGAGAGGAAGGUCCCCCACAUUGGAACUGAGACACGGUCCAAACUCCUACGGGAGGCAGCAUG